CUUUUUUUUUUUUUUUCCUCUCACGCCCGAAAUCUUCCUUGUGAGAUCCUUUGCCCUAACCGCUCGGCGGCGAUUUCUUCUUCCUCCUCUCCUCUGCCGACGCCGGCGACCAUCCUCUUCCCUAGUUUCUGCCGUCGACGAUGAGAGCUACCGCCGACCCUCUGACGCCGCUUCUCCAUAGGCGAGCACGCCGACGCCACAGCCGAACCACCGCAAGCACGUCUGUGCCCUAGGGCCGGCGCCACCGUCGACCACCCGGAGCCCUAGCCCUUGCCGUGGAGUUCCUAGCGCCGGCUGCUACUUUUUGUGCCCUAACCGAGUCCCUUCCAGUUGCGGCUGUUACCCUUUUUCCUUUAGCCGACGUCAGCCACUCGAGUAGCGCUGGCCACCCCCGAUUCCGGCACCCGAGUACACUGUUGGGGUUCUUCCGUGCCGUAGCACUGCCUCCGACCAUAUCUUUUCUCUGGUUUCUGGUGAUCAAGAAGGGUUUCAGUGAGUGAGGAGGUUUGCCAGCAUCUACUUCUUCCGGCAACAAUCCACUUUGACUGUGGGUUGAGCGGUAUCACAGCGUAUACCUCCGACCUUGAUCAACUGAGGAAUCCCUAUUUCUUGGUGAGUUUUUGUGUUCAUUUUGAUGGUUGAAUAAUUAGGGAUAUUGACUUCAAUGUAGGAGCCAUUGCUAUGAGUGUGUUGAUCAUUUUGUCGAUGAUUGACAGAUAGGUUAAUAACUAAUGUUAACCUAGGUAUAUGUGUUGAAUUAAGGAAUGGAUAUGAGUAUUAAAUAGUUUUGGAGAUUUUUAUUUAGCUAUAUAGCUAAAUACAUUGUCUGU